AGGACAAACGCUGGCGGCGUGCUUAACACAUGCAAGUCGAACGGUUCCUCUUCGGAGGAAUAGUGGCGGACGGGUGAGUAACACGUAGUUGACCUGCCCAUUAGUGGGGAACAACUUCCCGAAAGGGAGGCUAAUACCGCAUAAGCUCUGUUACGUUGGUAAUAGAGGAAACCUACACCGCAAGGUGGGGGCUAGUGGAGGGGACUGCGGCGGAUUAGCUAGAUGGUGGGGUAAUGGCCUACCAUGGCGACGAUCCGUAGCUGGUCUGAGAGGACGGCCAGCCACACUGGGACUGAGACACGGCCCAGACUCCUACGGGAGGCAGCAGUGAGGAAUAUUCCACAAUGGGCGCAAGCCUGAUGGAGCGACGCCGCGUGGGGGAAGAAGCCUUUCGGGGUGUAAACCUCUUUUAGAGGGGAUGAAAACGGGUCCUCGGGACCGUAACGACG
rnacentral:rRNA from 1 species